GAUCACCACAUAAUCCCUAAUCUAAUUUAUUUUUUUUUUUGCAUUUUUGGAUAUAUAUAAAGCGGUAAAGAAAUAAAUGACACGCGCGCACACACUUUUUAUUUAUGAUUUACAUGGAAUAUUACGGCUUGCAUGUAGAUGAAAUUAGUUUCAAACAAUUAAAGUUUAACGGAAUACCAACUCUAAACCGCAACAUCAGCGAAUAGCAGCAAACUUUAAAGUUUAAUGGAAUAUUAUGUCUUUAUUAUAGAUCACAUACAUCAUUAAAUGAAUGAACUUAGAAUGUAGUUUUUUGCUUAUAUUAAUGACCGGAGGGUGUACGUGUAAUAGCAAUGAAACAAAGGGACAUUGGUAACACUAUAUCAAAACACAUUCAUAUUCUACUAAAACAAAAAACAUUUCAACUCUUUUAACAUUCUCUCUCUCUCUCUCUCUCUAUCUCUCUCAUGUGUUCGAGCUAACCAGAAGCAAACGUUCAAACAUGGCCGCAAAGCUAAAUGUGCGAAUCACAGACCACUAUAUCUAAGGGGAAAUCAGUUUCAGACGCAUGUCGCAGAAUGGCAGCACGACACGUUGAUGUUGUAUUGUUGACUGAUUCCAAUGCUUUGUUAUUUGGAAUGCUUUGUUAUUUGGAAUAAUGACUAACAUGGUUUGUGAAUUUUCUAUGUGAAUGAUAAUGCUACUAGAGUUAUUGCCGAGGGUCUGUGACCGGAUCAGAAAAUGGUGUCAAAAGUAAUGACCCGGAAUCCUUUAUUUGUGACAUCAAAUACGUUGGCUAUUGAUGCUCUACAAAAGAUGGUCUAAGAACAAAAAGUUUAAUACUGUAAAAGAUUUGAAGAAGAAAGAAAGGAAAAGACAUGGGAAGACAGGGGAAAUAGAGUACAAUUAUACCUGUGACUAUGUUAUAAUUUAUAGAGUACAUGUUACAUUGGAUGAAAACUUGCAAUCGUUUUAGUAUGUAAUUCAAAAUGUGUUGCAUAGUGCAUAGUUCAUUUUCAUUAUGCAAGACAGGGGAAAUUUUAUAGAGUAUGUAAUUCAAAUUGGUUAUUAAAACUUCUCUCUAAUAUGUUAAUUCAAAUAUGAGUGAAGUCAGAGCCCGAUCAGGGUCAAACGACGUAUGAAUGUCGAUAUUUUAAGUCAAAAUUUGGGGUAUGACAAUAUCCAAUUGUUUUUUUCAUACUUGUUAUCUUCAAAACUUCAGAGGCAUUGUUCAAAACCCUUUUUUGGUUCAAUAGGGUGGAUACAUAACUCCAAUUUUAGUUUACUCUCCCAAACACAUCUCCUUUUUACCUAAGCCAAAUUGUAACCCAUAAAGAUAUCAAAAGUACAUGUUAUUAUAUAAACACUGUUCAACUAUUUAGAAUAUUUUCAAGGUUAUAUAUUAAAUACUUGAGAGACUCAAUGAGCUUGAGAGAUAAAGUUGUAUGGAUGGAAUUUGGCAUGAGUUGUGUACCCUUGACUCCACUCGCCUUGUACAAAAGAGCAGUGCAAAGAAACGAUCAGCUCCACACGCCUGGUACACAUGAGCCAUAUGGACCUCAGAGGGUUAAUGGGCUUGAACAUCCAAAGAGAGGCCCAUUAGUUCAAGAAAGUGAAACUUAUAAAGCGAGACACCUAGAGAACAAUAGGGGGAUCAAAAUCAUUAUCUUGAACAAUGUAUUUUCAUCUAAGUCUUAUUCAAAGUGCUCUUGGAAUUCCACCUGGGACAUUUCACUAAGCAUCUCACAUGUUGUAAUUAACUCAUGUUUACAAACGUGAACAAUAUCAUUUUUACAAUGACCCAACUCUACAAAUCUAUGUGUGCUCAGCUUGCAACGAGAACAAGACUAAAAAAGAUUGGCAAAAUCACGUCACUAUUUGAGAAGAAAAAACAUUAUCUUCUCGCUACGCUUUCCACAAAAGAUUAAACUUAAAAACAACUCUCCUCGGAACAUAAUACAAAUCCUCUUAGGAUAAUAAUCGAACUAAAAGUAUCAUAAACAUUAUUUUAUGGAUCAUUUCAAUCAAAAUAAGUUUGACAUCACCUUUUUGCUUGUCAUCAUUUGAAGUCAUCACUUUGAAUGCCUCGAACUAAAGACUUGAUGGCUUAUGAUCAGGACUAGCCAAAAGCCUAGUCUGCCACAAAUUAGAGCCCAAUUACUCAAAGUCCCAACAAGCAAAGCCUCCCAAUAGUUUUGGAUCCUCUCAUACCAAUAAUAGACUAUAAUACUAAUGGUUUGGAACGGCCAUUCAAUCUCAUCAUAAUGAGUGUCUAUCAUAACGGCUAACCCAGGACUAUACAACGCUCGCCUCAACCCUAUAUAAAGUAAUUUUGACAAGAUCACAAGGUAUGUAUCUCUUCAUGCUUCACCCCACUCUUGCUCAUAUACUAACUUGAGCAUCGGUGCACCUGCAGAUAUGACACCCCCUUCUCCUCAACAGGGUUGCGGCCAUCUUAUCCUCAGACCACUAUAUCAACGACCGCAACGCCCACUUUCAUUGAUCCGCCACCUUUUGCUCAAAAUUUCUAGAUCCAUCGUUGGACGUAGGCCUUUGUAGACCGAUUUAACGUAUUCUCAUACACACCUACGGAG